rnacentral:rRNA from 1 species
AAACGAUAAAGCGGGUGAAAAGCCCGCUCGCCGGAAGACCAAGGGUUCCUGUCCAACGUUAAUCGGGGCAGGGUGAGUCGACCCCUAAGGCGAGGCCGAAAGGCGUAGUCGAUGGGAAACAGGUUAAUAUUCCUGUACUUGGUGUUACUGCGAAGGGGGGACGGAGAAGGCUAUGUUGGCCGGGCGACGGUUGUCCCGGUUUAAGCGUGUAGGCUGGUUUUCCAGGCAAAUCCGGAAAAUCAAGGCUGAGGCGUGAUGACGAGGCACUACGGUGCUGAAGCAACAAAUGCCCUGCUUCCAGGAAAAGCCUCUAAGCAUCAGGUAACAUCAAAUCGUACCCCAAACCGACACAGGUGGUCAGGUAGAGAAUACCAAGGCGCUUGAGAGAACUCGGGUGAAGGAACUAGGCAAAAUGGUGCCGUAACUUCGGGAGAAGGCACGCUGAUAUGUAGGUGAAGCGACUUGCUCGUGGAGCUGAAAUCAGUCGAAGAUACCAGCUGGCUGCAACUGUUUAUUAAAAACACAGCACUGUGCAAACACGAAAGUGGACGUAUACGGUGUGACGCCUGCCCGGUGCCGGAAGGUUAGUUGAUGGGGUUAGCCGCAAGGCGAAGCUCUUGAUCGAAGCCCCGGUAAACGGCGGCCGUAACGAUAACGGUCCUAAGGUAGCGAAAUUCCUUGUCGGGUAAGUUCCGACCUGCACGAAUGGCGUAAUGAUGGCCAGGCUGUCUCCACCCGAGACUCAGUGAAAUUGAACUCGCUGUGAAGAUGCAGUGUACCCGCGGCAAGACGGAAAGACCCCGUGAACCUUUACUAUAGCUUGACACUGAACAUUGAGCCUUGAUGUGUAGGAUAGGUGGGAGGCUUUGAAGUGUGGACGCCAGUCUGCAUGGAGCCGACCUUGAAAUACCACCCUUUAAUGUUUGAUGUUCUAACGUUGACCCGUAAUCCGGGUUGCGGACAGUGUCUGGUGGGUAGUUUGACUGGGGCGGUCUCCUCCUAAAGAGUAACGGAGGAGCACGAAGGUUGGCUAAUCCUGGUCGGACAUCAGGAGGUUAGUGCAAUGGCAUAAGCCAGCUUGACUGCGAGCGUGACGGCGCGAGCAGGUGCGAAAGCAGGUCAUAGUGAUCCGGUGGUUCUGAAUGGAAGGGCCAUCGCUCAACGGAUAAAAGGUACUCCGGGAUAACAGGCUGAUACCGCCCAAGAGUUCAUAUCGACGGCGGUGUUUGGCACCUCGAUGUCGGCUCAUCACAUCCUGGGGCUGAAGUAGGUCCCAAGGGUAUGACUGUUCGCCAUUUAAAGUGGUACGCGAGCUGGGUUUAGAACGUCGUGAGACAGUUCGGUCCCUAUCUGCCGUGGGCGCUGGAGAACUGAGGGGGGCUGCUCCUAGUACGAGAGGACCGGAGUGGACGCAUCACUGGUGUUCGGGUUGUCAUGCCAAUGGCACUGCCCGGUAGCUAAAUGCGGAAGAGAUAAGUGCUGAAAGCAUCUAAGCACGAAACUUGCCCCGAGAUGAGUUCUCCCUGACUCCUUGAGAGUCCUGAAGGAACGUUGAAGACGACGACGUUGAUAGGCCGGGUGUGUAAGCGCAGCGAUGCGUUGAGCUAACCGGUACUAAUGAACCGUGAGGCUUAACC